GACGAACGCUGGCGGCGUGCCUAAUACAUGCAAGUAGAACGCUGAAGAGAGGAGCUUGCUCUUCUUGGAUGAGUUGCGAACGGGUGAGUAACGCGUAGGUAACCUGCCUUGUAGCGGGGGAUAACUAUUGGAAACGAUAGCUAAUACCGCAUAACAAUAGGUGACACAUGUCAUUUAUUUGAAAGGGGCAAUUGCUCCGCUACAAGAUGGACCUGCGUUGUAUUAGCUAGUAGGUGAGGUAACGGCUCACCUAGGCGACGAUACAUAGCCGACCUGAGGGGGUGAUCGGCCACACUGGGACUGAGACACGGCCCAGACUCCUACGGGAGGCAGCAGUAGGGAAUCUUCGGCAAUGGGGGCAACCCUGACCGAGCAACGCCGCGUGAGUGAAGAAGGUUUUCGGAUCGUAAAGCUCUGUUGUAAGUCAAGAACGAGUGUGAGAGUGGAAAGUUCACACUGUGACGGUAGCUUACCAGAAAGGGACGGCUAACUACGUG
rnacentral:rRNA from 1 species